rnacentral:misc_RNA from 1 species
CAGAGACCUGAUUGUUUCUCUGCAAAAAACCAAUAAUCAACUGUUUUUCUUAUUCUCAUUCCCUAACAAUCAGCCUCUCUCUCUGUGUUUCAAUACACAACAAAGCACAGCUUUCAAUUUUCUCGAUCUCUGAAAAAAUGCCUUCUCCAAUCCUCCCUGUAACUGUAAAACAAUCGCCCGAACACUCCUUUCUUGACCCAUCUCCUUCCCUAUCCCCACCCACCUCCGCAAACUCCAUAAUGUUACUAAAACAAGAGAUUCUUGAUGACCCAACAGCCAGGCUUUUGAUUUCUUCUCCUUUUGAUGAAGAAACUGCUGUUUCCACUAAGCCUCUUUUGUCCCGGUCUUCUAGUUUUGUAGGUA